rnacentral:rRNA from 1 species
GCGAACGCUGGCGGCAGGCCUAACCCCUGCCAGUCGAACGAACUCUUCGGAGUUAGUGGCGGACGGGUGAGUAACACGUGGGAACGUGCCUUUUGGUUCGGAAUAACUCAGGGAAACUUGUGCUAAUACCGAAUGUGCCCUUCGGGGGAAAGAUUUAUCGCCAUUAGAGCGGCCCGCGUCUGAUUAGCUAGUUGGUGAGGUAACGGCUCACCAAGGCGACGAUCAGUAGCUGGUCUGAGAGGAUGACCAGCCACACUGGGACUGAGACACGGCCCAGACUCCUACGGGAGGCAGCAGUGGGGAAUCUUGCGCAAUGGGCGAAAGCCUGACGCAGCCAUGCCGCGUGAAUGAUGAAGGUCUUAGGAUUGUAAAAUUCUUUCACCGGGGACGAUAAUGACGGUACCCGGAGAAGAAGCCCCGGCUAACUUCGU